rnacentral:rRNA from 1 species
GAUGAACGCUGGCGGCGUGCCUAACACAUGCAAGUCGAACGGAGAUUACGGACGGAAGUUUUCGGAUGGAAGCCUGUAAUUCUUAGUGGCGGACGGGUGAGUAACGCGUGGGCAACCUGCCCUAUACAGGGGGAUAGCAGCUGGAAACGGCUGGUAAGACCGCAUAAGUCGGUUAAAUCGCAUGAUUUGAUCGGGAAAUGAGCAAUCAGGUAUAGGAUGGGCCCGCGUCCGAUUAGCCAGUUGGCAGGGUAAAAGCCUACCAAAGCGACGAUCGGUAGCCGGACUGAGAGGUCGGACGGCCACAUUGGGACUGAGACACGGCCCAAACUCCUACGGGAGGCAGCAGUGGGGGAUAUUGCACAAUGGAGGAAACUCUGAUGCAGCGACGCCGCGUGAGCGAAGAAGUAUUUCGGUAUGUAAAGCUCUAUCAGCAGGGAAGAUGAUGACGGUACCUGACUAAGAAGCCCCGGCUAACUACGUG